GACGAGCGCUGGCGGCGUGCUUAACACAUGCAAGUCGAACGGUAAGGCCCUUCGGGGUACACGAGUGGCGAACGGGUGAGUAACAAGUGGGUGAUCUGCCCUGCACUUCGGGAUAAGCCUGGGAAACUGGGUCUAAUACCGGAUAGGACCACUGCCUGCAUGGGUGGUGGGGGAACGCUUUUGGGGUGUGGGAGGGGCCCGCGGCCUAUCAGCUUGUUGGUGGGGUGAUGGCCUACCAAGGCGACGACGGGUAGCCGGCCUGAGAGGGUGACCGGCCACACUGGGACUGAGAUACGGCCCAGACUCCUACGGGAGGCAGCAGUGGGGAAUAUUGCACAAUGGGCGCAAGCCUGAUGCAGCGACGCCGCGUGAGGGAUGACGGCCUUCGGGUUGUAAACCUCUUUCAGCACCGACGAAGCGCAAGUGACGGUAGGUGCAGAAGAAGGACCGGCCAACUACGUGCCAGCCGCCGCCGUAA
rnacentral:rRNA from 1 species